AGAGUUUGAUCCUGGCUCAGGAUGAACGCUGGCGGCGUGCCUAACACAUGCAAGUCGAACGGAGUUCUUAAGGAAUGCGACUUCGGUCAAAUGACUUUUGAACUUAGUGGCGGACGGGUGAGUAACGCGUGAGCAACCUGCCUUUCAGAGGGGGAUAACAUUUGGAAACAGAUGCUAAUACCGCAUAAGAUUACAGUACCGCAUGAUACAGUGAUCAAAGGAGCAAUCCGCUGAAAGAUGGGCUCGCGUCCGAUUAGAUAGUUGGUGAGGUAACGGCUCACCAAGUCGACGAUCGGUAGCCGGACUGAGAGGUUGAACGGCCACAUUGGGACUGAGACACGGCCCAGACUCCUACGGGAGGCAGCAGUGGGGAAUAUUGCACAAUGGGCGAAAGCCUGAUGCAGCAACGCCGCGUGAGGGAAGACGGUUUUCGGAUUGUAAACCUCUGUUUUCGGUGACGAAUAAAUGACGGUAACCGAGUAGGAAGCCACGGCUAACUACGUGCCAGCAGCCGCGGUAAUACGUAGGUGGCAAGCGUUAUCCGGAAUUACUGGGUGUAAAGGGAGCGCAGGCGGGAUAGCAAGUCAGUUGUGAAAACUAUGGGCUCAACCCAUAGAUUGCAGUUGAAACUGUUAUUCUUGAGUGGAGUAGAGGCAAGCGGAAUUCCGAGUGUAGCGGUGAAAUGCGUAGAUAUUCGGGGGAACACCAGUGGCGAAGGCGGCUUGCUGGGCUCUAACUGACGCUGAGGCUCGAAAGUGUGGGGAGCAAACAGGAUUAGAUACCCUGGUAGU
rnacentral:rRNA from 1 species